CCUAGGGUGGCUGCAGUGGGGAAUAUUGGACAAUGGGCGAAAGCCUGAUCCAGCCAUGCCGCGUGUGUGAAGAAGGCCUUCGGGUUGUAAAGCACUUUCAGUGGGGAAGAAAGCCUUGGGGCUAAUACCCUCGAGGAAGGACAUCACCCACAGAAGAAGCACCGGCUAACUCCGUGCCAGCAGCCGCGGUAAUACGGAGGGUGCGAGCGUUAAUCGGAAUUACUGGGCGUAAAGCGCGCGUAGGCGGUCUGAUAAGCCGGUUGUGAAAGCCCCGGGCUCAACCUGGGAACGGCAUCCGGAACUGUCAGGCUAGAGUGCAGGAGAGGAAGGUAGAAUUCCCGGUGUAGCGGUGAAAUGCGUAGAGAUCGGGAGGAAUACCAGUGGCGAAGGCGGCCUUCUGGACUGACACUGACGCUGAGGUGCGAAAGCGUGGGUAGCAAACAGGAUUAGAUACCCGUGUAGUC
rnacentral:rRNA from 1 species